rnacentral:rRNA from 1 species
GUGUCAGCAGCCGCGGUAAUACGUAGGGGGCGAGCGUUAUCCGGAGUUACUGGGCGUAAAGCGCACGCAGGCGGUCAGAUUAGUCUGUCGUGACAGUCGUCGGCUUAACUGACGAAGUACGAUGGAAACUGUCUGACUUGAGGGCUUCAGAGGGACACGGAAUUCCGGGUGGAGUGGUGAAAUGCGUAGAUAUCCGGAGGAACACCGAUGGCGAAGGCAGUGUCCUGGGAAGUACCUGACGCUCAGGUGCGAAAGCUAGGGGAGCGAACAGGAUUAGAUACCCCUGUAGUCC